UUAAUCAUGAUUAAUCGCAUUUUGUCCAUAGUUAACUCACGAUUAAUUGCAAAUUAAUCGCAUUUUUUUGGCACAUUUCUUUCUGUUCUAAAUGCACCUUAAUGUAUUUUUUUCAUGUUCUUAAAACUUUUAAUAACAUAAGAAAAGGCAAAUAUGCUCGCUUUAUGAAAAUGUUUCUUCAACACUUCAAAUCAUGCACUUCAAAUAAAAGGCUCAAAAAAUUUCCCCUCACCCUAAAUGGGAUCAAAACAUGGUGAUGUCUGCUUUUAGCGAAGGGCUGGCGGUGGGCUCUCUGCAUCUGCCAUGUGUUUGGCUUGCAAAUGAUAUUUGAGACUCGGCGUACUUCAAUAGUAACUCUUUUCAUGUCAACAGUACAUGCAGAUAACUUUUGUCCUAUCAACCGAACCAUGUGGCAGUGUUUUGAAAGUGAAUUUGCCGUUCAUUAGUCCUUUCUCCAUUUCCUUUCACUUUCGCUUUUCAGUUCACUGUGAUUUUCCCAAACGCCAACCCUGCUUCUUCUUCUUCUGAUUCCCUUUCUUAUUCUUCUGCCACCCUCUGGAUCAAGACUACAGGUGCCAUUGACGGCCAUGAAUCAAACAGCGCGCGUUCCUUUUUUAUACCGAGCGUUAAUCACGUAUUUAAAAAAUUAACGGCUUUAAGAAGAUGUUGCCUUAACGAGUUAUUAACGCAUUAACUUUGACAGCCCUAAUAUAUGUCAGAAUACACAGUGCGUCACAGUUGGUUGCAUAUGUGGCUGCAUAGCCACAGAACAGUCAGGGUGUCCAUGCUGACCCUGUCCACUGACUGCAUGGGCACUUGAGCAUCAGAACUGGACCAUGGAGCAAUGGAAAAAGGUGGUCGGGUCUGAUGAGUCCCGUUUUCUUUAACAUCAUGUGGAUGGCUGGGUGCAUGUGAGUGGCUAACCUGGGGAACACAUGGCACCAUGAUGCUCUUUGACAGCUAGCUAAGCAUCGUUGCAGACCAUGUACACCCUUUCAUGGAAACGGUAUGGCCUGAUGGCUGUGGCCUUUUCAGCUGGAUAAUGCACCGUGCCACAAAGCAAAAAUGGUUCAGGAAUGGUUUGAAGAACACAACAACAGGUUUGAGGUGUUGACUUGGCCCCCAAAUCCACUUCACUCAGAACUUCAACUGAUGGACACCAGCUCUCAUUAUUUACUCAACUACAGUCAACUUGAGGGCUGUUGACCACAACUCAUUACAAGUGAUUACGUCCUGAAUUCCUUCACAGUCUUUUCAUCCAGUCAUCAUGUUCCGAAGAUGUAACUUGAGACCAGGGGCAUCUGGUAGAGUGCAAACUGCCAACACUACCCAUAAUAUCAGAACGCAAAAGUUUACUCUACCUGCAGAAGCAUCUCCCUGCUCAGAUGGGCACUCACUCACACAAGCUCCUCUCUCAGCCAUAGAAGACAACCUGAAGCUGUCCUCCACAAACACUGCCCCAAAGGAAGAAAAUAAAAAGCUAGUGAUUGAAAAUAAAUGCAGAGUAAACUUAGGAGAAAGCUGCACAUGUCCUGACAGCAAAUCCAAAGGUCGGAAGAGGCUUAAAGGGCCAGAGAGAAGAAACUAUCAAAGAGAACAAUAAUCAAAUCUCUUUGCUUCAAGAAAGACUCCAUGCACAGAAGGAGAAGACAGAGAGACUCCAAGCUAUCUGACUGUGGCAAGCAAAAAUGCAGCAGUGAAGAAGAGGAGAAAAAGGAGAUGAAACAGAACUUCUGGAGCUGAGCUCGCAAGAACAGAGACAGUAAAGUGGAGGAAGAAACAGUAUGUCCAACACAGGCUGGACGGCAGUAAACCAUCCAUCCUUCCCUGACCAUAGCCCCGCCCACCUAACCCAACCCUAAUCCCACACAUUAACCCUUAAUAUUACCCUUACACUCUCUAAACACAUCCUAACUCCUCAUUACCCAUCUGACUCCAUGCACUUAUCUGCUCUUCUUAUCUAAUUUCUUAAAGAAAAAUAUAGAUUCAUUUUUAAUGCAACUGCAUGAAACUGUACUCCAAUCAUUGUUUUUAGUUUGUAAAAACUUGUGUUUGUAACUCCUUGGUUGGCAUUUAACAACAUUUGAGUCAUAUGUAUGAGCGUGAAAUUCUCUGGCCAGGCUGGAUUUAAAUGAUUAGCAAAUCAUCUCAUUUGUUAUUUACAUUAGAUGGAGUGUAUAAACAGGGUCAUUCAUUUUCUUGUAGUUCUUUUUAAAUGUUGUCAUGUUUGCAGCUUGCAAAGCUGUUAAACAACUCGCCAACAAGGUUCCCUUGUUUAUAUGCCUUGUUACUUUUCUGUACACCUAGUGCCACACGAGCACUCUGUCAGUGUCACAUAUGUAGCAAUAAUUAGUAGGGAUGGCUCAACACCACUUUCCCUUCAUGCAACAAUAGUGAAGACACUAUUAUUUCCUGAUAUGAGUCAGCUGACACUAUGGUCCUGAGUGAUGAUGGUGCCUGUGGAGUGGGAGGACUCCACAGUGUUGACUGGGGAGUCACAAAGUGUGAGAGGAGUGGGUGGGCUCCACUACCAUCUCCACUGUCGUUACAACAUUG